rnacentral:lncRNA from 10 species
CAGGUCUAUCAGGAAACCUGAGAAUUGGAGUGAGAAUCCCAGUGUGGAAAAUCAGGAAAGAGGCUGGUAUGAGCGACAGAGAAGUCAUUCAGGAAAGAGGUUAUUGAAUUCAUUGGAGAAUGAAUGCUGUUCUGAAUUUGUAUCCUAAGGGAAAUACCACAAAAUGUCUCAGAAAAUGUUGGUUGGAUAUCUAAAGUUUAAAAAGGAAGAGAACCACACCAGCUGGAGAUUAAAGAAGCAUCAGUAGAGUAUCUUAAGGGAAAUACUACAAAAUGUCGCAGAAGGUGCUGGAUGGAUAUCUAAAGUUCAAAAAGGAAGAGAACCACACGAGCUGGAGAUUCAGGAAGCAUCAGUAGAAGUCAAUGGCCAUUAAUAAAAACAUUUUUUAUUAAAAUAUUGAAUCUGAAUAGAGUUUACCUCAACAAAUAGCUUACACCUCCAAUCCUGUCUUGGCGUGCCCUGCUCAGAAGACACAAGACACACCAGGAGUGACGUGAGGAAACAGGCAGUAAAGAUAAGCCUUUGCGACUGGGUUACUCAGACCCUCCCUGACAAGGAGGAGCCCAUCUUGAGUGUCCCAGGAGACCUGGACCUUGUGGACAUCCUGCAGAAUGGCAUAUGGAUCCAUUACAAUGAUGACAUCAUGCUGACUGGGCAAGAUGACAAGAGGUUGCUAUACACCAGAGGGCUUGGGAAGACACAUGCCCUGCAGAAGAAAAACCUGCUCCUGAUUACAAGGAUAUGUCGAUUGCAGGGAGGCAGAGGAAGAAAUACAACAGGAUGUCUAUCGAACACAACUUUGGAGUAAGACCUUGGGACCCAACUCCUGUUUGCUUCAUAUACAAGCUUUGAGACGUGAUGAGUUUGCCUCGAUUCUCUAAGCCUCAGUUUCCUCAUCUGUUGUUGUGAGGGAAAUAAUGCAUGGAAAGCUUUUAACACAAUGGCUGGCACACAGUGAAAGUGCAAGACGUUAACCAUUAUCAUGAGAGUUUUCAAUUGGAAUGAAUAGGAGACUUAAAUUUGCAUGAUUGUACUUUUACACUAAGCCAUUAAUGAUGCAUUCAUUUAGUUUUCUACUCCCAAAGAACAUAGAUUUGAUUAAUUAUAACAAGAAUUUAAAAAUAUUUCCAUUAUUCAGAAAUAACCUACAGAGUCUAAGCCUGUCCUUUCCUUCCUCCCUUUUUCCCAAUCUUUUUUUUUUUUUUUUUUUUUUGAAAGAAAUAGCAAUUAUGUAGUCAGAUUCACUGGCUCUUUCUUCUUCUCCCUGGUAACAGGCUAAGUCUUAACCUUGAUUAGGCAGCAUCGCAUCUGAUCUAAGUUCUUCCCAGCUUUCAGCCCAGCCUGCUUCCCCAGGCUUCAGAGCGCAGCUCUGCACCACCCUCUCCACCCCUGCUUAGCAUCAGAACAUUGCCAAAGCUAAGCAUCUAUGCAAUGUUUCUUUUGAAUAGUUGUCUACCUACUUGGAUAUUUUUUUCCUUCUCCCAGAGGCAAAAAUUGGACCACUUAAUCUAUGCUGUAGGACAGUCUUGCCCCUCAGAAAAUACUUGAGCAUAUUAAGUUGUUAUGAAAUGGAUCUGAGAAGCAGAGUUCUGAACCAUGCCCGUGAAUUUCCCAGCCUCAUCACACUGGCAUUCUUUCAUAGCCCCGAAAUACUUUCCACUUGCCCUUCCUAUGAAUGCAAGUAAAGCAAAGCCUCUUGACAAAGCAAAUUAAGAGUAAUCAAUGGUUUGGGUUUUUUUUUUAAUUAUUAUUUCCUGUGACUCAAAUCAAACCUAUUUCUCAACUGUAACGUACGAAAAGAGAGAGAUCAAGUUGACAUUUAGGAAAAUUGAACAUUGAUAAGUAAAUUGCCUUCACUCAGUCUCUUAGGUCCUCUCUCCUUUCCCCCUACCCCACGACACCCCGUGGCCCUGCUCUCUCUCACACACACAGCUGAAGGUAUCUUUAAAGGGUACCUAUUUCCUGCAGAUCACGCUUAUGUUAAUCUCACUUCAAGUACAGAUGCACCGAGGACAUUACAGGGUCAGUCAUUCUUAUCCACAAAGCUUUAGAUUCCACUACAUUAUUCAAACUGGACAAUGGACUUCCCCAUUUUGUGCCCAGACUUGCUCACUAAUAGAGUGACCUCCUUGUUAUGGGUGAGGAUAUAUUUGAUGCUAAAACUGCUACAAAUUUUUAUCAGCAUUUAAUCUUGAGACUGUGAAUUACUACAUCCUGCAUGUGUUGGUACCUUACUUUGAUUAAAAAUGGGAUAAAU